rnacentral:lncRNA from 1 species
AUGACAUAUGCUUUAUUCUUGUUAAGUAGUCUUUUGGUUAUGAGAUUUGUAGGUUUUUCUUCUAAACCUUCUUCUAUUUAUGGGUGGUUAGGGUUAAUUAUUAGUGGUCCUGCAGGUUGCAUUAUUGUGUUCAAUUAUGGUAGGGCUUUUAUAGGCCUAAUAGUCUUUUUGAUUUAUUUGGGAGAGAUGAUGGUUGUUUUUUGUCAUACUAUGGCGAUUGCUAUUGAGGAGUACCCAGAGGCGUGAGGAUCAGGUAUUGAGGUUUUAGGGAGUUUCUUAUUGGGUUUAGUAAUAGAGUUGAUGCUAAUUUGGUGAACAGCUGAGUAUGAUGGAUUGCUGGUCAUAGUUAAUUUUAAUAACAUGGGAAGUUGAGUGAUUUUUGAUGGUGAGGGGUCAGGGUUGAUUCGUGAGGAUUCUAUAGGUGCGGGUGCUUUAUAUGAUUAUGGAUGUUGACUAGUGGUAGUUGCUGGUUGAACAUUAUUUGUUGGUGUUUAUGUUGUGAUUGAAAUUACUCGGGGUAAU